rnacentral:rRNA from 1 species
GGAUCAAGUAAUCAAGAGCAUUUGGUGGAUGCCUUGGCACUGAGAGGCGAUGAAGGACGUGACACACUGCGAUAAGCUAUGGCGAGCCGUGAGUAUGCUUUGACCCGUAGAUUUCCGAAUGGGGCAACCCGACCGUAAGGUCAACCUGGACUGAAUACAUAGGUUCAGGUCGCGAACCCGGAGAAGUGAAACAUCUAAGUACCCGGAGGAAAAGACAUCAAUUGAGAUUCUGCUAGUAGUGGCGAGCGAACGCGGAACAGGCCAUAAUCAACUUGUGAUCAAGCCUAACGUCCUGGAAAGGACGGCCACAGAGGGUGACAGCCCCGUUGGCGUAACAUGCAAGUUGGUUUCGAGUAAGGCGGGACACGUGAAAUCCUGUCUGAACAUGGGGGGACCACCCUCCAAGCCUAAAUACUCCUCAGUGACCGAUAGUGCACAAGUACCGUGAGGGAAAGGUGAAAAGAACCCCGACGAGGGGAGUGAAAUAGUAUCUGAAACCGAAUGCUUACAAACAAUUCGAGCCCAUGUGGGUGAGAGUGUACCUUUUGUAUAAUGGGUCAGCGAGUUAGUCUGUGCAGCAAGCUUAAGCCGUAAGGUGGAGGCGAAGCGAAAGCGAGUCUGAAUAGGGCGUUUAGUUGCACGGAUUAGACCCGAAACCUGUCGAUCUAGCCAUGACCAGGGUGAAGGUGGGGUAACACCCACUGGAGGCCCGAACCGGUGCCUGUUGCAAAAGUCUCGGAUGAGUUGUGGUUAGGGGUGAAAGGCUAAUCAAGGCAGGAAAUAGCUGGUUCUCCGCGAAAUCUAUUUAGGUAGAGCCUCAGGCGAUUACCUUGGGGGGUAGAGCACUGGAUGGGCUAGGGGGGCGCGAGCCUUACCAAACCUAACCAAACUCCGAAUACCCAAGAGUACAACCUGGGAGGCAGACGGCGGGAGCUAACUUUCGUCGUCGAGAGGGAUAAAAACCCAGACCUACAGCUAAGGUCCCCUAGUCGUGACUAAGUUGGAAAGAAUGUGGGAAGGCCAUGACAGUCAGGAGGUUGGCUUAGAAGCAGCCAUCCUUUAAAGAAAGCGUAACAGCUCACUGAUCUAGUUAAGCCGGCCUGCGUCGAAAAUGUAACGGGGAUCAAGUCACGCACCGAAGCUUAGGAUUCUUUUGAAUGGUAGCGGAGCGUUCCGUAAGCCGUUGAAGGUUGACCCGUGAGGGCAGCUGGAGGUAUCGGAAGUGAGAAUGCUGACAUGAGUAACGAGAAACAGUGUGAGAAACACUGUCGCCGUAAACCCAAGGGUUCCUACGCAAGGUUAAUCCGCGUAGGGUGAGCCGGUACCUAAGGUGAGGCCGAAAGGCGUAGCCGAUGGAAACCACGUUAAUAUUCGUGGGCCAGCUGGUAGUGACGGCGUUUCCGGGUCAUCUGAAGUUAUUGGAUUCUGAAGGUGGCAAAGAAACGUCCAGGAAAUAGCCCAGUGUAAGACCGUACCCUAAACCGACACUGGUGGGUGAGCUGAAUAUGCUCAGGCGCUUGAGAGAACGGAGUUGAAGGAACUAGGCAAAUUACUCUCGUAACUUCGGGAUAAGAGAGCCCGUACGCAACGCAAGUUUUGUACGGGGGCACAUAAAUGGGGGUAGCGACUGUUUACCAAAAACACAGGGCUAUGCGAAGAGUCUUAACUCGACGUAUAUGGCCUGACGCCUGCCCGGUGCUGGAAGGUUAAGGAGAGAGGUGCAAGCCUUGAACCGAAGCCCCAGUAAACGGCGGCCGUAACUAUAACGGUCCUAAGGUUGAUCUCGGAAGAUCACAAAAAGCAGCCUUAGAAAAACUGAACUAUAUGCGGGAAAAUCCUCGCACAGCUAGUCUGUACUCGUGAAAUACCUCUGGUGUUUCGCAGUCAAAAUCAGCUAGACAUGGGGACAAUCCGCAGGGAAGGCUCACCACCGCAAGGUUGUGAGAACCCUCAGAGACUUUACGUUCAGGAAGCACCCUUUGAAGUUAGAACCGCAAUGGAUCACAGGUUUUGUUGAUGGCGAAGGCUGUUUUCAUGUGGGCAUCAGCCGACAUGAGGAGAUGUCUCUUGGCUAUCAAGUAUUGCCUGAGUUCGUGGUGGUUCAGCAUGAACGUGAUGUUCAGGUGUUGCACGCUUUGAAAGAUUAUUUUGGUUGCGGUGUGGUUCGUGUGAACCAUGGCGACCGGAUGUCCUUCAGAGUACGGGCACUUGACCACUUACAAAAUGUUAUUAUCCCCUUUUUUCACAAGCAUACGCUGAAAACCAAGAAAUCGAUCGAUUUCAAAAAGUUUGCAACCGUGUGCCUGAUGAUGGAAAGAGGAGAACAUCUUGCGCAAGAAGGCCUGGACCAAAUCAGGCACAUUGCCGAUCAGAUGAAUAACAAAACUUCAGAGGAGCUUUAAGAUAAAGUCCGGCUGGCAGUGAAAACUGUCAGGUAAUCCGAGCGAAAUUCCUUGUCGGGUAAGUUCCGACCUGCACGAAUGGCGUAACGACUUCCCCACUGUCUCCAACUCCGGCUCAGUGAAAUUGAAUUCCCCGUGAAGAUGCGGGGUUCCCGCGGUUAGACGGAAAGACCCUAUGAACCUUUACUAUAGCUUUGCAGUGGUAUGAGAGAACGCAUGUGUAGCAUAGGUGGGACCCUUUGAAGCGUCGGCGCUAGCCGGCGUGGAGGGAUCAGUGAAAUACCACCCUUGUAUUCUUUUAUAUCUAACCAAGCCCACUGAAUCGUGGGCUGGGACCCUGCAUGGUGGGUAGUUUGACUGGGGCGGUCGCCUCCCAAAGAGUAACGGAGGCGCGCGAUGGUGGGCUCAGGCUGGUCGGAAACCAGCCGUAGAGUGCAAAGGCAUAAGCCCGCCUGACUGUGAGACUUACAAGUCAAGCAGAGACGAAAGUCGGCCUUAGUGAUCCGGUGGUUCCUCGUGGGAGGGCCAUCGCUCAACGGAUAAAAGGUACUCUAGGGAUAACAGGCUGAUGACCCCCAAGCGUCCAUAGCGACGGGGUCGUU